rnacentral:rRNA from 1 species
UAGCGUAUAUUAAAGUUGUUGCAGUUAGAACGCUCGUAGUCGGAUUUCGGGGCGGUCCGACCGGUCUGCCGAUGGGUACGCACUGGUCGGAGCGUCCUUUUUGCCGGAGACCGUGCCUACUCUUAACUGAGCGGGGGCGGGAGACGGCACUUUUACUUUGAAAAAAUCAGAGUGUUUCAAGCAGGCAGCUCGCUCUUGCAUGGAUUAGCAUGGGAUAAUGAAAUAGGACUUUGGUGCUAUUUUGUUGGUUUCGAACACCGAAGUAAUGAUUAACAGGGACAGUCAGGGGCACUCGUAUUCCGCCGAGAGAGGUGAAAUUCUCAGACCAGCGGAAGACGAACUACUGCGAAAGCAUUUG